AUCUAUGUAGUUUAAGUCAAAACUUCUCAUUUUCGUUGAGGCAAAGAAUUUUAGAAUUCCUUAGAUU
rnacentral:tRNA from 1 species